ACGGCGAGUGAAGAGGGAAGAGCCCAGCACCGAAGCCUGCGGCAGCUUUGCUGUUAGGCAAUGUGGUGUGCGGGUCGGUUCGCGGGACCGUCACUCCGCUCGAAGUCCAGCAUUGAGUAUGGUUAUCACUGGAUUUGGCCCAUAGAGGGUGAGAGGCCCGUACGAGUGGAGGUUCAGACAUGUAUGACGGUUCACCAGGCCGACCUCAGAGUCGGGUUGUUUGAGAUUGCAGCCCAAAGAGGGUGGUAAACUCCAUCCAAGGCUAAAUACUGACACGAGUCCGAUAGCGAACAAGUACCGUGAGGGAAAGUUGAAAAGUACUCUGAAGAGAGAGUAAACAGUACGUGAAGCCGCAUGCAGGUAAACGGGUGGCGUCAAGCUGCGAGCCCGGAGGAUUCAACUGAUUAGGAUGUAGUGUACGCGCGCCCGGUGCGUCGAGAGACCGGAAUAAGAUGUUUUGCGGUCCGCUCCUCUGCUAGGAGUGGGGCGCUAUCAGUGUGCACGCGAAAGCGUGCCUGCUGGUUGUCGCUAUGCAUGCCGGGUGGGUGCCGGAGCAUGCCGCUCAUCUGUUGGGUCACCUAGUCAGUGCAUUUUCUCCGCGGUGAACACCACGACCGGUGGAACUGCCAGUCUGCUGUCAUCAAGUCGUGUCCAUCUGACCCCUCCCUCUUGCUCCUUCGUGGGUGAUGGGUGGAUGUGUGUGUUGGGUGGGUACGAUCGCGGAUGGAGUCGGUGGACGGCGCAGUGGUGUCUCGGCACCGCCGCGUGUUAUCGUGCACUCUCCGUCCUAAGCGAUUAGUGGGGCUGACUGAGCGCUGUAACUGCCUCCCCAUUGAUCGGCGGAUAGCAGUGGUAAAAAUGACUGUGCAGGGCACCGGAGUUGUCCACCUCAUUCAUUUAUUCAUUCGUGAAUAAGUGAAAAUGGCACCCGACACGCACGUUACAGGUGCUAUGCAAUCGGGGCGCGCCGCUGCCUGUCUAGUGUUGGGCCUGACCGUCGUGUUGCCUGCGCAAAGUGGGUCCGGCGGUGGUUACAGACACUUGGCAAUGGUAGUGUGUAGCGCGUUUCGGGUGUGUGUGGUGCCGGGGGUGAAAUAGUCAGUGGUGCUGUGGUAGACGAGCUACCCGACCCGUCUUGAAACACGGACCAAGGAGUUUAACAUGUGUGCGAGUCAAAGGGUCCUACGAAACCCCUAGGCGCAGUGAAAGUGAAGUUCAUGCUGUACUUCUGUGCAUACGCAGUGCAGUGUGGCGAGGUGAGAUCUCCUUGUGCUCAUGACACACGCCGCAGACCUUACUGGGCAAUAUUGGGGCAAGGAGCGCAUCACCGGCCCGUCGCAUGUUGUGGUCAUAGGUGUACUUGUACGUUGAGGGGUGCGUGUGCGUGCUUCGGCGCGUGCAUGUACUUGGAGGCGUGCAAAGCCUGUGCGUCAGCGCGGCGGAGCAUGAGCACCCAUGUUGAGACCCGAAAGAUGGUGAACUAUGCUUGCGUAGGUUGAAGCCAGAGGAAACUCUGGUGGAGGACCGUAGCGAUUCUGACGUGCAAAUCGAUCGUCAAACGUGAGUAUAGGGGCGAAAGACUAAUC
rnacentral:rRNA from 1 species